AACUCCCUUAAAGCUGGGGUCACACAUUCACGAUUUUUACUGCCGUCCUUGACAGGACCAUUCCCGAUUAAAAUUUGUCAAAAGUCUGAUUAAGAUCCUGUGAAUCGUGGAUGGAAAUUCGAUUUGUAUCUUUCGCCAGGUAAAAUUCGACCGAGUCUGUCACGACUGCGUCCCGAUUCUACCGAAUGUAAUCCGACAGAGAUCAGAUAGUGACAAGACAGUGAACCGACGCUGACGGAAGUUAUCCGUUCAAAAACUGUCGGCAUAAUCGGGAUGAUCAGGUACUGUCGGAACGUAAUCCUAUCACGGUCCGCUCUAUCGCAUUGCAAACGGCUUUGUCUGGUCUCAGUCGUAUUGUAUUCUGUUAU
rnacentral:lncRNA from 1 species